CACGUAGGGGGCAAGCGUUGUCCGGAUUUAUUGGGCGUAAAGAGCUCGUAGGCGGUUCGGUAAGUCGGGUGUGAAACCUCCAGGCUCAACCUGGAGAUGCCACCCGAUACUGCUGUGACUAGAGUCCGGUAGGGGAGCGUGGAAUUCCUGGUGUAGCGGUGAAAUGCGCAGAUAUCAGGAGGAACACCAGCGGCGAAGGCGGCGCUCUGGGCCGGAACUGACGCUGAGGAGCGAAAGCGUGGGGAGCAAACAGG
rnacentral:rRNA from 1 species